AACCUUUAUACUGUACGAAGUGCGAUAGGGGGCUCCGAGUGUGAAGGCAUAGAGCCUUCACUUUUGUACACCGUAAGGUGGUGCACGAAUAAGGACUGGGCAAGACCGGUGCCAGCCGCCGCGGUAAUACCGGCAGUCCGAGUGAUGGCCGAUCUUAUUGGGCCUAAAGCGUCCGUAGCUGGCUGAACAAGUCCGUUGGGAAAUCUGUCCGCUUAACGGGCAGGCGUCCAGCGGAAACUGUUCAGCUUGGGACCGAAAAACUGAAGGGGACUCUGGGGGAAGAAGUGAAAUCUUGAAUCCUGGACGACCCCCGAU
rnacentral:rRNA from 1 species